CCUACGGGGGGCUGCAGUGGGGAAUAUUGGACAAUGGGGGAAACCCUGAUCCAGCGACGCCGCGUGAGUGAAGAAGUAUUUCGGUACGUAAAGCUCUAUCAGCAGGAAAGAAAAUGACGGUACCUGACUAAGAAGCCCCGGCUAACUACGUGCCAGCAGCCGCGGUAAUACGUAGGGGGCAAGCGUUAUCCGGAUUUACUGGGUGUAAAGGGAGCGUAGACGGCAGCGCAAGUCUGGAGUGAAAUGCCGGGGGGCAACCCCGGAACUGCUCUGGAAACUGUGAAGCUGGAGUGCAGGAGAGGUAAGAGGAAAUCCUGGUGUGGCGGUGAAAAGCGUGGAUAUCAGGAGGAGAACCGGCGGCGAAGGCGGCUUACUGGACUGUAACUGACGUUGAGGCUCGAAGGCGUGGGGAGCACACAGGAGUAGAUACCCCUGUAGUC
rnacentral:rRNA from 1 species